CCCUUAGAUGUUCUGGGCCGCACGCGCGCUACACUGACGAAUGCAACGAGCUUAUAACCUUGGCCGAAAGGUCUGGGUAAUCUCCAAAUUUCGUCGUGAUGGGGAUAGAUUAUUGCAAUUAUUAAUCUUCAACGAGUAAUGCCUAGUAAGCGCAAGUCAUCAGCUUGCGUUGAUUACGUCCCUGCCCUUUGUACACACCGCCCGUCGCUCCUACCGAUUGAAUGGUCCGGUGAAGCGUUCGGACCGUGGCCUUUGGACGGUUCGCCGUCUGUUGGCUGCGGGAAGUUCGUUAAACCUUAUCAUUUAGAGGAAGGAGAAGUCGUAACA
rnacentral:rRNA from 1 species